rnacentral:rRNA from 1 species
UACAGAGGGUGCGAGCGUUAAUCGGAAUUACUGGGCGUAAAGCGCGCGUAGGCGGCUUUGCAAGUCGGGUGUGAAAUCCCCAGGCUUAACCUGGGAACUGCAUUCGAGACUGCAUUGCUAGAGUAUGGGAGAGGGAAGUGGAAUUUCCGGUGUAGCGGUGAAAUGCGUAGAUAUCGGAAGGAACAUCAGUGGCGAAAGCGACUUCCUGGACCAAUACUGACGCUCAUGUGCGAAAGCGUGGGGAGCGAAACAAGG